AAAGGUAAAGUAUAUAACAAUACGUUUCAGUUACAUUGAAAAAAUUCAAACAUAAUUUGGUGCCUUAA
rnacentral:tRNA from 1 species